UGGAAAUAGUUUUCUGCAUCUGUAAGUUAAGCUCAGAGUCCUAUAACAAAGUAUGGCAUCUUGAGCUUCAUAGCUCUGAUCUCUCUUAUGCUUGCAUUUUCCCGUUUGAAUAUGGCAGUUUUUGUGCCAUGCAGCGCCUCUCGUGUUACAUGAAGUGCAAUAAAACUGUAUAUAUACACAACCCGCACAUAAACUGCAACUUAUGACGACAUUUCAGUGCCACUUAACCAUUAACUAGUCGCACUAGUGCCCUGUGUUACUCGUUAAUGGUCCAGAUUCAACCGAAAUGUCGUCACGAGUUUGGUUCUCCUAUGUGCAGGUUAUUUGUGUAUUGUGUAGUGUAGGGCUAACUAUUGUGUUUGUCAUCAUUAUCUGCAGGAAGCAAGAAACAGUGGUACUUGUCUUAGACAUACUCGAUAUUAUUAUUAUUACAGUCGUAACUCAGCACUAAAGUUCCAAGGGUCAUACAGCGCUGCAAGGCAGGAUGUGCCGAAGAUUAUAUACAGACACUCCUCGACCUACGAUGGUUUGACUUAAACAAUAUUUCAACUUUACGAUGGUGCGGCAGAAAUUACUUUGGAGAUGAAACAUGAGAUAAUUACCCAACAUGAAGGGAACUCUACACCAAACCACGAACCCUGAAACAGGUUUGCCGAGUCAUAAUAUACGACGCCCUGGGUCGAAGAACUGCGCAGAACGUCAACAAGUUACCACUUCCGGGAAUGUUAAAAGACUAUAUUUUAAAUUUCGAUCCUUAGAGCCCUUUUCUUGUGCUCGACAGUAAGGCAAAUGUUUUCCCUACUAUUCUAACAGUGAAAACCAGAAAAGAGUUGUCCCUUCUUGUGUGGAAGGUUGAAAAGCUAAAAUCGCAGGCUGCUCGUCCCGGCCAGCAGUGUGUGUCGUUAUGGUUCAUUAGUGUCUUUAAACUUCAUAGUUGGUUACGAUAGCUAAAGCGUGUUACAAAGACUUGUUAGGCCGAGCAACACUGAAGCUGAAAUACGCCGUACAUACGUGCAUUAGAAUAAUAAAGCAGGUUGGUGCAUUCUAAGCAUAUGUGCGAUGUGAAAUGGCAUUCUGAAAAUAUUGAACUUGCUUGUCAGCUAUGUAAGGGCAACUAUAGUUGUAAGUGGAGGAACAUUUUUUAAUGGCGAAGAUGAGCAAAUUGUCCAGAUAAAUAAUGCAGAGCUUGAUAAAUAUUGAGCUUUCCUUCCUAGCUAGGCUGUGUACAUAU